rnacentral:ribozyme from 1 species
ACCUGUCCAUGUUCUGUAAAAGGGUUGGAUCCGACGCCUCUAGAAGGCUACUAUAGGCUCUCCUUCUCAACUCCUACUCAA